rnacentral:rRNA from 1 species
CCUACGGGUGGCAGCAGUGAGGAAUAUUGGUCAAUGGACGGAAGUCUGAACCAGCGAAGUCGCGUGGAGGAAGACGGCCCUCCGGGUUGUAAACUGCUUUUAGUUGGGAAUAAAAGGGGGCUCGUGAGCCCCGUAUUGUAUGUACCUUCGGAACAGGGACCGGCUAAUUCCGUGCCAGCAGCCCCGGUAAUACGGUAGGUCCGGGCGUUAUCCGGAUUUAUUGGGUUUAAAGGGAGCGUAGGCCGGCGUUUAAGUCAGCUGUGAAAGUCCGGGGCUCAACCGUGGCAUUGCAGUGGAAACUGGAGACCGGGAGUGCACGCAGGGAAGGCGGAAGUCAUGGUGUAGCGGUGAAAUGCUUAGAUAUCAGGAAGAACUCCGAUCGCGAAGGCAAGUGUCCGGGGUGCAACUGACGCUGAGGCUCGAAAGUGCGGGGAUCAAACAGGAUUAGAUACCCGGGUAGUC